rfam:Streptomyces rubellomurinus strain ATCC 31215 contig-79, whole genome shotgun sequence.
GCCGGUCCUCGGUAGUGGCCCCCGGAAGCCCCGCAGACGAGCGGGGCGCCCCGGAGGCUUCGAUCGAAGACCGGC